rnacentral:lncRNA from 1 species
CUCCCUUGCUGCUGGGGGACUUGCACGUGGCUUGCCAAGGAAGAUUGGCCCUGAGCUUACAUCUGUUCCCAUCUUCCUCUACUUUAUAUGUGGGAUGCCUGCCACAGCAUGGUUUGAUAAGCAGUGUGUAGUUCCACAACCAAGAUCCAGGAUGGUGAACCUUGGGCCGCCAAUGCAAAGCACACAAACUUAACAGCUACGCGCCACCAGGCCAGCCCCUUUUUACUGAACCAGGCGACCCAGUGUUUCGUUGGUUCGAAUCCUGGGCACGGACAUGGCACUUCUCAUCAAACCACGCUGAGGCAGCGUCCCACAUGCCACAACUAGAAGGACCCACAACGAAGAAUAUACAACUAUGUACCGGAGGGGCGCUUUGGGGAGAAAAAGGAAAAAAUAAAAAUCUUUAAAAAAAAAAAAAGGAACCUUAUUCUAGAGUGUCAGAGUCCUUUCCAUGAAUUUCUCUGAAGAUGAAACAUUUUGCGAAAGCAUCAGAGUAAAACAAUAACUGUCUGUAAACAACAAGAUCCCAAAAUGGCAACUGACAAAGAAAUUUGGUUAGUUUUGUGACAUAUAAUACUUUAAAAUAAUAACCAGAAUUGUGGCUGACAACCAGGACCAAUCAGAAUUUUAGGAAUGUUAUAUAAUUUUUAAAACAUUUAUAUCAAUAACAUUGACUCACAUAAUACCACCCUAGAAAGUUUAUCAUCACUUAUUUGACAAUGUUUCCCAUGUAAUUUAACAUACCAAAUAAGCCUAAUUAGCUUAGUGUCUUCCUCCUUCUAGGAAGCAGGAGGAAAUUUCCUUGAGAAGUCUCAGGGGCCCUCUGAAAAUCCUCAGAGAAAUUCUCUUCCUUCUUCCAAGCCAAAUGAAAGUAUUCAGGAUUUGAAUAUUUUGGUGGUGGGGAGAGCUUGUCAAAAACAUCAAAAGGUUUUAAAACACUUGUUCAGAUCGGAAACCAUGCUCAGUCAUCCAUUCAAAGUGACAACAGAACCAGUCAAGGGCAAACAGCUAAAACAGUCAAAAUAUCUGAAUAGAGACUCCAGUCUUUCUGAACAGAGGGAAUUAUUGUAACAAAACAUAGAUUUUCUGUCUUUUAGGUAGACUUAUCAAAAAUAAAGAAAAAGCCUUUUAUAACCUCUUUAUCAAGAGCAGACCAAAAGUUCAAGAAAAUUAUCCUUUAGAGAGAGAAAACAAAAUUUUAAUUUUUGUACCAGCUUAUUGUUUUUUUCAUUAAAACUCAUUUACUUAAUUGGAUUUACUUUAAUCUUAGCCAACUUGACCAGGCAUAAAACUCCCUUCAGAAUUUCUC